UGAACAGAGGAAGGAGAAUUUCUUCAGGUUCACAAAGUGUUCUGGGUAGAGAUAAUUAACCAAGUGGGAAGAAUCAGCAAUCACUUCUAAAUCCUGGAUGUAUAAAGCUUGAGACAAGCCUGAGGCUGGAAGAGGUACUCCUGGGACUCACAGAAGGACACUCAGAGCCUUGGCCUACACUUCAAGCUGUGCAUAGGUUGUCUGCCGAUUAAAGAGACUUUCCUUCAGAGAGGGGACUCUAGAGGACAGGGAGAAGAGCAACUGCGAGGAGACUUGGCUAACAGGAGGAGUAUGAAUAGCCAGGAAAGCAAACAAACAAAAAUAUAGCUUCUGAGAGCAACUACCCCUGUCCAUCCAAAAAGGAGUUUGCUUUUGUUUUCUAUACCUUCAGUGGCGUGAGGUAGAACGAGCUCCUUUGAUUGAAGCUUAGUGCCCAUACAUACCAUGGAAAGCUUCAGAUUCAAUUAAUUGGAUUCCUGUGAUGACAAGUUUAUGGCUUCAACUUGGCCCAGCCCCAAUUUAUACAGGCCUUUGGGGAAUAAAGCAACAGGUGGGUGAUCUUUCAUUCUCUGUCUCUGUGUCUUUCUGUGUAUCUCUCUGUGUUCCUCCAAAUAAAUUAAAUAAUUCAUAAAAAUUUUAAUGAAUAAAUAGAUGAAAUUCAUAGAAAUUGAUAUCUCCAGUACAAUUAGAGGGAAAUUUACUUAAAUGAAACCACUUAAGAACAUCAUUUGCUAGAUGACUGUACAACAUAUCAAAACUUAUGGGAUACAGCAAAACAAAUGUUAAGAAGGAAGCUUAUUGCAAUUAGUACCUACAUCAAGAAAUUGGAAAGAGAUUAAAUAAAUGAGCUAUUUAUGCAUCUCAAGGACCUAGAAGAACAACAAACCAAACCCAAAGUUAGUAGAUGAAAAGAAAUAAUUUAGAUUAGAGAAAAAAUAAUCAAAAUUGAAGCAAAAGUGUACAAAAGACCAGUGAAAUGAAGAACUAUUUUUUAAAUAAAAUUGACACACCAUUAGCCCAACUAAUCAACAAAAAAGAACCAGAUCAAUAAAAUAAGAAGUGAAAAAGUGAAAGUUACAAAUUACACCACAGAAAUAAACAUAACCAUCAGAAAUUAAUACGAACAGAUAUAUGCCAAAAGAUUGGAAAAUCUAGAAAAAAUGGAUAGAUUCCUGGACACAUACAAUGUACCUAAAAUGAAUCAAGAAGACACAAAACCUAAACAGAUCAAUAACCAAGAUGGGAAUUGAAUCAAUAAUAAAGACCCUCCUAACAAAGAACAGCCCAGAACCAGGUGGCCUCACUGUUGAAUUCAACAGCCUUUAAAAAAUAACUAAUUACAAGUUUUUCAAACUAUUCAAAACAAUUGAAAGGAAGGAAAGCUUCUAUGAGCCCAGCAUCAUGUUAAUUCCAAAACCAGAAAAAAGAUACAACAAAGAGAGAACUAUAGACCAAUAUCACUGAUGAACAUAGAUGCAAAAAUCUUCAACAAAAUACUAACUAAUUGAAUUCAACAAUAUAUUGGAAAGAUAAUUCACCCAGAUCAAGCAGGAUUUAUCCCUGGUGUGGAGAAAUGGUUCAAUAUAUGCAGUGUAAUCAAUGUGAUACAUCAUGUUGACAAAUUGAAGAAUGAAAACCAUAUGACUAUCUCAAUAAUUGCAUAGAAAUCAUUUGAUAAAAUAUAGCAUCUUUCCAUAAUAAAAAAAUUAAGCAUGUUUUGGGUAUAGAAGAAACAUUCCUCAAUACAAUCAAGGCAUAAUAUGACAAACCCAUUUUGAAUGGAGAAAACUUUGAAGUAUUUUCACUAAGAUCCAGAGCCAGACAAAGAUGUCUACUUUAACCACUGCUAUUCAAUAUAAUUCUGGAAGUUUUGAGCACAUAUUUUAGGGGAAAAAUAUAAAAGGAAUAUAAACUGGAAAGGAGGAAGUCAAAUCAUCCCUGUUUAAAGAUAACAUGUAUGUAUAUAUAGGGAAACCAAAGAACUCCACCAAGAUCAUGGGAAUUCGUACGAGACUUUGGUACGUUUGUAGGAUAAAAAAUCAACACACAAAAAUCAACAGCCUUUGUAUACACAGACAAUGCUAUGGUUGAGAAAGAACUUGUUAAGUCAGUAUCAUUCACAAUAGCUACAAAAAUUUAAAUACCUUGGAAUAAGUUAAACCAAGGAGAAAGAUCUCUACAAUGAAAUUACAAAACAUUAAAGAAAGAAAUAGAAGAAGACACAAAAAAGAUGGAAAAAUCUUCCAUGUUCAUGGACUGGAAGAAUUAAUAUCAUCAAAAUGUACAUACCACACAAAGCAAUUUACAGAUUUAAUGUAAUCCAAAUGAAAAUACCAAUGACAUUCUUCAGAUCUAGAAAACAAUAUGAUAAAAUUCCCAUGGAAACACAAGAGACCCUAGAAAGUUAAAGCAAUCUUAAACAACAGAAAUAAAGAAGGAAGCAUCACAAUACAAGAUAUCAAGACAUACUACAGGGAAGUUAUCACCAAAACAGCCUGGUACUGGCACAAAAAUAGACACGUAGAUCAAUGGAACAGAAUAGAAAACCAAGACAUUAAUCCAUGCAGCUACAACCAAUUAAUCAUUGACAAACAAGAUGAAAUCCAUUCCUGGAAAAAGGAGUCUAUUCAACAAAUGGUGCUGGGAAAACUGGAUCUUCAUGAGCAGAAGUAUGAAACAAGACCCCUAACUUAUACCUUCCACAAAAGUCAACUCAAAAUGGAUCAAUGAUAUAUGACCUGAUCCCAUCCAAAUAUUAGAGCAGAACAUUGGGGAAACUGUAAGAUAUUGGCAUAGACAAAGACUCCUUUGAAAAGACCCCAGAAGCACAAGUGCUUUUUAAAGAUCAUAAAAAAUGAAAGCAACAUAAAAUAUUUUAAAAUAAAUUGAAAGAACUUGCAAAAAAAGAUAAUAGACAGCAGUAGUUAACAUGUGUAAAGUAAUGUUUUUAAAAUAUUAUCAAAUCAAGACAUUGGGCAUUUGCAUAAUCUUGUAUGUUUCUCAUACACCUUUUUAAUCUUUCUCUCCCACACAUCAGGACCCAAUUUGCUUUGAAUUUACAUGAGUCAAAUCACACCUUAUGAUUUUUCUUCUGUUUUUACUGUUGAUGGAGGUGAUCUGCUUCUUACACUCAAUAUCAUUAUUUUUAUUUGUUUAUAUUUUUUGAAAGUUGAGAUGAGAAUGUGAUCAAGGGUAAAAGUGAGAGAGAGAGAGAGAGAGAGAGAGAGAGAGAGAGAAACAGAGACAGAAAGAAAUUAUUUGCUGAUUCACUCCCCAAAUGACCUCAGCAAUUCAGACUGGGCCAGGCUGAAACCAGAAACCUGAACUCAAUCUGAGUCUCCCAUGUGGGUUGCAGGACCCAAAAAUUCAAGCCAUCACCUACUGCAUCCCAGGAUGUGCAUCAGUAGGAAUCAUGAUUGGAAAGGAAGAAGGGAGAUAAACCCAGACUCUGACAUAUGGGAAGCCAGUAUUCCAAGAAAUAUUUGAACAUAUGCAUUAAAUACUUAUAUCAUCAUCACAACUAUUUUAUAAUUCAUACAUUCACUGUGGGUAUGAAUGAUACGUUUCUUUUAGUCACAGAAUGUAUAUACAUCACAUAUGUACAUCACAAUUUGCUAAUAUUGUAGAAUUACCUUGAAUUACCAUUAGCUGUACAUAAGAUUCCCUUAUUACCCAAUUGUUAAAUUAUUCAUUUAUAUUUCAUUUUAUUUUAGAGGAAAUAACGAGAGAGACAGAGAGACAGAUGGAGAGAGGUCUUCUCUUAUAUGGUUCAUUUUCUAAAUGCUCACCAAGAGUCUUGGAUGUGUCCUGUGAGGCUGGAGCCCAUCUCUAUAUUCUAUGUGGGUGGCAAGACCACAAGUGUUUGAUCCAUAAUUUAUCUAUUGCCUCCCACAAUGCACAUUAACAGAAGUCAAAAACAGAGUAACUUGACUGAAUGAGGCACUCCGAUAUGGGAUGCAGGUGUACCAAAUGCCCAUAACCCCCUAUUAUACUUGAUAACUGUAGGAUCUAGGGAGAUGUCACCUCUGUAUUCCAUUCAUGAGUAACUUCUUUCUUCUACAAUUUCCUUAUUAACUGAA